rnacentral:rRNA from 1 species
UGGCGUACGGGUGAGUAACACGUGGAUCAUCUACCUUUUAGUGGGGAAUACCGUUGGGAAACCGACGACAAUACCGCAUAAUCCCGAGAGGGGAAAGCAGCAAUGCGCUGAAAGAGGAGUCCGCGGCUGAUUAGCUAGUUGGCAGGGUAAUGGCCUACCAAGGCAACGAUCAGUAGCCGGCCUGAGAGGGCACACGGCCACACUGGCACUGAAACACGGGCCAG